rnacentral:tRNA from 1 species
GCCUAGUUAGCUUGGUUGGUAGCGCGUCUGCCUUGUAAGCGCUAGGUUGCGGGUUCGAUUCCCGCCCGCGGCG